rnacentral:lncRNA from 1 species
GUUUUUGAUUUAAUUCCUAAACACAGUACAUGUGAAAUAUUUGAUUGAUCUAAUGUUUUGAAUUGAGAAAUAUUUCAGGCAAACAAGAAGACACCACACACUUGGAACAAUAGCUUGCAACCCAAGGAAUCAACCAAAGUUGGAGGAUGCACUUGAGAAAGACGCAAAAAUGUAUAGUGUUAUUAGGUGUCAUAGUAAUAAGUUUAGUAGACUAAUCACUAUGGUCUCACACUUAAGC